rnacentral:tRNA from 1 species
GAGGGUAUAGCUCAAGUGGUAGAGUGCUUAAUUAGCAUGCACAAGGUCCUGGGUUCAAUCCCCAGUAUCUCCU